GAUUGUAGUAUCGCAUGAUAUAGCAUUAAAGAGCAAUUCGCUAUAAGAUGGACCCGCGUCGCAUUAGCUAGUUGGUGAGGUAAUGGCUCACCAAGGCGACGAUGCGUAGCCGACCUGAGAGGGUGAACGGCCACAUUGGGACUGAGACACGGCCCAGACUCCUACGGGAGGCAGCAUG
rnacentral:rRNA from 1 species